UCCGCGAUAGCUCAAUGGUAGAGCAAACGGCUGUUAACCGUUCGGUUCCAGGUUCGAGUCCUGGUCGCGGAGCCA
rnacentral:tRNA from 1 species